GCCCAGAGCCUGAAUCAGUGUGUGUGUUAGUGGAAGCGUCUGGAAAGGCGUGCGAUACAGGGUGACAGCCCCGUACACAAAAAUGCACAUAUUGUGAGCUUGAUGAGUAGGGCGGGACACGUGGUAUCCUGUCUGAAUAUGGGGGGACCAUCCUCCAAGGCUAAAUACUCCUGACUGACCGAUAGUGAACCAGUACCGUGAGGGAAAGGCGAAAAGAACCCCGGCGAGGGGAGUGAAAAAGAACCUGAAACCGUGUACGUACAAGCAGUGGGAGCACGCUUAGGCGUGUGACUGCGUACCUUUUGUAUAAUGGGUCAGCGACUUAUAUUCUGUAGCAAGGUUAACCGAAUAGGGGAGCCGAAGGGAAACCGAGUCUUAACUGGGCGUUAAGUUGCAGGGUAUAGACCCGAAACCCGGUGAUCUAGCCAUGGGCAGGUUGAAGGUUGGGUAACACUAACUGGAGGACCGAACCGACUAAUGUUGAAAAAUUAGCGGAUGACUUGUGGCUGGGGGUGAAAGGCCAAUCAAACCGGGAGAUAGCUGGUUCUCCCCGAAAGCUAUUUAGGUAGCGCCUCGUGAAUUCAUCUCCGGGGGUAGAGCACUGUUUCGGCAAGGGGGUCAUCCCGACUUACCAACCCGAUGCAAACUGCGAAUACCGGAGAAUGUUAUCACGGGAGACACACGGCGGGUGCUAACGUCCGUCGUGAAGAGGGAAACAACCCAGACCGCCAGCUAAGGUCCCAAAGUCAUGGUUAAGUGGGAAACGAUGUGGGAAGGCCCAGACAGCCAGGAUGUUGGCUUAGAAGCAGCCAUCAUUUAAAGAAAGCGUAAUAGCUCACUGGUCGAGUCGGCCUGCGCGGAAGAUGUAACGGGGCUAAACCAUGCACCGAAGCUGCGGCAGCGACGCUUAUGCGUUGUUGGGUAGGGGAGCGUUCUGUAAGCCUGCGAAGGUGUGCUGUGAGGCAUGCUGGAGGUAUCAGAAGUGCGAAUGCUGACAUAAGUAACGAUAAAGCGGGUGAAAAGCCCGCUCGCCGGAAGACCAAGGGUUCCUGUCCAACGUUAAUCGGGGCAGGGUGAGUCGACCCCUAAGGCGAGGCCGAAAGGCGUAGUCGAUGGGAAACAG
rnacentral:rRNA from 1 species